rnacentral:rRNA from 1 species
GACGAACGCUGGCGGCGUGCUUAACACAUGCAAGUCGAACGGAAAGGCCCUGCUUGCAGGGUACUCGAGUGGCGAACGGGUGAGUAACACGUGGGUGAUCUGCCCUGCACUUCGGGAUAAGCCUGGGAAACUGGGUCUAAUACCGGAUAGGAGCCAUUUUUAGUUUGAUGGUUGGAAAGUUUUUUCGGUGUAGGAUGAGCUCGCGGCCUAUCAGCUUGUUGGUGGGGUAAUGGCCUACCAAGGCGGCGACGGGUAGCCGGCCUGAGAGGGUGGACGGCCACAUUGGGACUGAGAUACGGCCCAGACUCCUACGGGAGGCAGCAGGGGGGAAUAUUGCACAAUGGGCGCAAGCCUGAUGCAGCGACGCCGCGUGGGGGAUGACGGCCUUCGGGUUGUAAACUCCUUUCGCUAGGGACGAAGCUUUUUGUGACGGUACCUAGAGAAGAAGCACCGGCUAACUACGUG